GAUGAACGCUGGCGGCGUGCCUAAUACAUGCAAGUCGAGCGAACGGACGAGAAGCUUGCUUCUCUGAUGUUAGCGGCGGACGGGUGAGUAACACGUGGAUAACCUACCUAUAAGACUGGGAUAACUUCGGGAAACCGGAGCUAAUACCGGAUAAUAUUUUGAACCGCAUGGUUCAAAAGUGAAAGACGGUCUUGCUGUCACUUAUAGAUGGAUCCGCGCUGCAUUAGCUAGUUGGUAAGGUAACGGCUUACCAAGGCAACGAUGCAUAGCCGACCUGAGAGGGUGAUCGGCCACACUGGAACUGAGACACGGUCCAGACUCCUACGGGAGGCAGCAGUAGGGAAUCUUCCGCAAUGGGCGAAAGCCUGACGGAGCAACGCCGCGUGAGUGAUGAAGGUCUUCGGAUCGUAAAACUCUGUUAUUAGGGAAGAACAUAUGUGUAAGUAACUGUGCACAUCUUGACGGUACCUAAUCAGAAAGCCACGGCUAACUACGUGCCAGCAGCCGCGGUAAUACGUAGGUGGCAAGCGUUAUCCGGAAUUAUUGGGCGUAAAGCGCGCGUAGGCGGUUUUUUAAGUCUGAUGUGAAAGCCCACGGCUCAACCGUGGAGGGUCAUUGGAAACUGGAAAACUUGAGUGCAGAAGAGGAAAGUGGAAUUCCAUGUGUAGCGGUGAAAUGCGCAGAGAUAUGGAGGAACACCAGUGGCGGAGGCGACUUUCUGGUCUGUAACUGACGCUGAUGUGCGAAAGCGUGGGGAUCAAACAGGAUUAGAUACCCUGGUAGUCCACGCCGUAAACGAUGAGUGCUAAGUGUUAGGGGGUUUCCGCCCCUUAGUGCUGCAGCUAACGCAUUAAGCACUCCGCCUGGGGAGUACGACCGCAAGGUUGAAACUCAAAGGAAUUGACGGGGACCCGCACAAGCGGUGGAGCAUGUGGUUUAAUUCGAAGCAACGCGAAGAACCUUACCAAAUCUUGACAUCCUUUGACAACUCUAGAGAUAGAGCCUUCCCCUUCGGGGGACAAAGUGACAGGUGGUGCAUGGUUGUCGUCAGCUCGUGUCGUGAGAUGUUGGGUUAAGUCCCGCAACGAGCGCAACCCUUAAGCUUAGUUGCCAUCAUUAAGUUGGGCACUCCAAGUUGACUGCCGGUGACAAACCGGAGGAAGGUGGGGAUGACGUCAAAUCAUCAUGCCCCUUAUGAUUUGGGCUACACACGUGCUACAAUGGACAAUACAAAGGGCAGCGAAACCGCGAGGUCAAGCAAAUCCCAUAAAGUUGUUCUCAGUUCGGAUUGUAGUCUGCAACUCGACUACAUGAAGCUGGAAUCGCUAGUAAUCGUAGAUCAGCAUGCUACGGUGAAUACGUUCCCGGGUCU
rnacentral:rRNA from 1 species